GGUGUCACACAUAAUAAACCUUCUGUUUGUGUAGCCUACGCAAACCAACACAGCUGAUUAACGUUAGUUAGUGAUUCAAACACAAGAGAAAGCGAAAGCAUGAAUUCUGCAGGACUUCCCCUGCUUAUUUUUUCCCUGAGUUAAAAACAAACUUUGUCAGUUUUCACCAACUUCAGCAGGAGUGUGUGUCUGAGUUGAUUACUGAGUAAAGGUGCUGUGAAAAAGGAUUGAAGUCAUGAGCCAUUCCACGAGAAAGCCAAAGUGUCCAGCUUGUCAUCAGGAAGUCGUCAAGAAAUCGGAUGGGCAGUGUGUUGUGUGCCGUUCGUGUUCUGCAGCAAAACGUCGCGUCUUUCUCUUCUGCUGGGAUUGCCAGAGAGAGUGGCCGAAGACAACUUCAGUAAACAGCGCUUGCAAUCGGCCAAACUGUGCUCUCCGGGCUGCUCUGCUCUCUGACUAUCUGAUCAGUGAUCCCAACAGUUCAGCAAAGGGAUGCCCCUAUUUCAGGGCCUGUCCAAAAUGCAAUGCCCUGCUCACACACAACGGAAUAGGCUGUCCCAAAAUUAAUUGCCCUAAGUGCUUCACAGCAUUUUGCUUUCGUUGCCUUCGACCAAGGUGCAUUCGCACAGACUUCUAUUUUGUUGAUUUUGAGUUGAUUAGACACCGGUUCAACGAUGUUCAAGAAUGUACUAUAGUGGAUAACAGUCAGAGUCUUAUGGCAUGUCGUUAGUAGAAUCAGUCUGUAGGAGACAAAAUGUCUACCACACAUAAGUAAAAGUUCACAAAUGAUCUAACAGACACAUAUAAGCUUUACAUACAAGUUGUUACAACUCUGCAGGUGGGUCAGACUUCUGGUUGGGAACCUUUAAAACACAGCUUAGGUCAUAGUGUGCUUCUACUUUAUUCUCAAAAUUAUUUCAUUGUCUUUCUUUGUGCAAACAAAAAAUGUUUGGAAUAAUUCUGUAAAAUGAAUGUAAACAUAAUCUGUGCAUUAAAGAGAAUUUAUAGUUUGAAAGUGAGGUCUUGUGUUUAUCAUGUUUCAUAUAUCAAGUCUCUUUUCAGAAAGUAGAAGAACAAUUGAUGCUAAUUAUAGCAUUUCUACCUUAAUAAACCUUCUGUUUGUGUAGCCUACGCAAACCAUCACAGUUGGUUAACGUUAGUCAGUGGUGCAAACACAAGAGAAAGCGAAAGCAUGAAUUCUGCAGGAAUUCCCCUGCUUAUUUUUCCCUGACUUAACAACAAACUUUGUCAGUUUUGACCAACUUCAGCAGGAGUGUGUGUCUGAGUUGAUUACUGAGUAAAGGUGCUGCCAAAAAGGAUUGAAGUCAUGAGCCAUUCCACGACAAAGCCAAAGUGUCCAGAUUGUCAUCAGGAAGUGGUCAAGAAAUCGGAUGGGCAGUGUGUUGUGUGCCGAUCGUGUUCUGCAGCAAAACGUCGUGUCUUUAACUUCUGCUGGGAUUGCCAGAGAGAGUGGCCGAAGACAACCUCAACAAACAGCGCCUGCAAACAGCCAAACUGUGCACUCCGGGCUGCUCUGCUCUCUGACAAUCUGAUCAGUGAUCCCAAAAGUUCAGCAAAGGGAUGUCCCUUUUUCAGGGCCUGUCCAAAUUGCAAUGCCCUGCUCACACACAACGGACUAGGUUGUCCCAAAAUUAAGUGCCCUAAGUGCUUCAAAACAUUCUGCUUUCGUUGUCUUCGCCCAAGGUGCUUUCGCACAGACUACGAGUUGCUUAGACUGAUCAAUCGCACAGACUCUGAGUUGCUUAGACUGAGCAUUCGCACACAUUUUGAGUUGCUUAGACAGCAGGUCAACGAUAUUCAAGAAUGUACUAUAGUGGAUAACAGUCAGAGUCUAAUGGCACUUCGUUAGUAGUAGAAUCAGUCUGUAGGAGACAAAAUGUCUACCACACAUAAGUAAAAGUUCACAAUUGAUCUACAGACACAUAUAAGCUUUACAUUUAAGUUGUUAGAACUCUGCAGGUGGGUCAGACUUCUGGAUGAAGGUUGGGAACCUUUUAAACACAGCUUAGGUCAUAGUGUGCUUCUACUUUAUUCUCAAAAUAAUUUCACUGUCUUUCUUUGUGCAAACAAAAAAUGUUUGGAAUAAUUCUGUAAAAUGAAUGUAAAUGUAAUCUAUACAUAAAAGAGAAUUUAAACUUUACAGUUUGAAAGUGAGGUCUUGUUUUUAUCAUGUUUCAUAUAUCAAGUCUUUUUUCAGAAAGCAGAAGAGCGAUUGAUGCUAAUUAUAGCAUUUCUACAACAGCAUUAUUAUUAUUUUAUUGUAUUAUCAUUUCUGUAUAUUAAUGAGGUUUAUUAUACCAAUUACAAUUUUUUUUUGCAAAAUAUAUGUUAAUAUGUUGGAAACAAUUUAGACAAAAAAGGUGAAAAAAAAAGGCUGUCAUAUAUACAGUACUUAAUUUUUUAUAAGCAGUCAAAACAGACAAGGUCAACUUGACUCGGCGCUCCUAAGCAGGAAAAGACAACAGGAGGUGUGCAGGAGGGUUAAUCAUUUCAUUUUACAUUCUCAUAUACAAACAUACUAGGGGUUUGAAUGUAUAUUAUGAAACAAAAAGCACAUCUAGGUAAAACUGACUUUAUUCUAAAAAAAAUACAAUAAACGUAAUAAACCUUCUGUUUGUGUAGCCUACGCAAACCACCACAGCUGAUUAACGUUAGUCAGUGGUGCAAACACAAGAGAAAGCGAAAGCAUGAAUUCUGCAGGAAUUCCCCUGCUUAUUUUUUCCUGAGUUAAAAACAAACUUUGUCAGUUUUAACUAACUUCAGCAGAAGUGUGUGACAUUAAAUGUAAAUGUAAAACAAGCUUUGCCAGUUUUCACCAACUUCAGCAGGAGUGUGUGUCUGAGUUGAUUACUGAGUAAAGUAGGUGCUGUGAAAAAGGAUUGAAGUCAUGAGCCAUUCCACGACAAAGUCAAAGUGUCCAGAUUGUCAUCAGGAAGUCAUCAAGAAAUCACAUGGGCAGUGUGUUGUGUGCCAGUUGUGUUCUAAAGUGAAACGUCGCGUCUUUCGAUUCUGCUGUGAUUGCCAGAGAGAGUGGCUGAAGACAACUCCACCAGACAGCGCCUGUAAUCAGCCAAACUGUGCUCUCCGGGCUGCUCUGCUCUCUGACAAUCGGAUCAGUGAUCCCAACAGUUCAACAUAUGGAUGUCCCUAUUUCAGGGCCUGUCCAAAAUGCAAUGCUCUCCUCACACAUGACGGAGAAGGCUGCCCCGAAAUCGAGUGCCCUAAGUGUUCCACAGAAUUCUGCUUUUGUUGUCUUCGCCCAACGUGCAGUCCCUUGAAUGUAGACUUUGAUUUAAUUGACUGUGAGUCGAUUAGACAGGAGUUCCACGAUGAUGACGAAUGUACUAUAGUUGAUAACAGUCAGAGUCUAAUGGCACUUCGUUAGUAGAAUCAGUCUGUAGGAGACAAAAUCAAAAUGUCUACCACACAUGAGUAAAAUUCCACAAGGUUUGGGAACCUUUAAAACACAGCCUAGGUCAUACUGUGCUUCUAUUUAAUCUCAAAAUGAUUUCACAGUCUUUCUUUGUGCAAACAGAAAAUGUUUGGAAUAAUUCGGUAAAAUAAAUGUAAACGUAAUCUAUGCAUUAAAGAGAAUUUACAGUUUGAAAGUGAGGUCUUGUUUUUAUCAUGCUUCAUACUGUAUAUCAAGUCUCUCUUCAGAAAGCAGAAGAGCGAUUGAUGCUAAUUAUAGCAUUUCUACAAUGGCAUUAUUAUUAUUUUAUUCACUAGACUAUUUGUUUUGUUUUGGGGUUUUUUUUGUAGAAUUUGGAAAUUAGAAAAAACUGUGAAAUGCAUUUGCAUAUUUCCUUCAAUUGAAUUUGUUUGU